rnacentral:rRNA from 1 species
GAUGAACGCUAGCGGCAGGCUUAAUACAUGCAAGUCGAGGGGCAGCAUGAUUGUAGCAAUACAAUUGAUGGCGACCGGCAAACGGGUGCGGAACACGUACACAACCUUCCAACAAGUGGGGGAUAGCCCAGAGAAAUUUGGAUUAAUACCCCGUAACAUAGCGAUGUGGCAUCACAUUGCUAUUAUAGAUUUUUCGCUUGUUGAUGGGUGUGCGGCUGAUUAGAUAGUUGGCGGGGUAGCGGCCCACCAAGUCUACGAUCAGUAGCUGAUGUGAGAGCAUGAUCAGCCACACGGGCACUGAGACACGGGCCCGACUCCUACGGGGGGCAGCAGUAAGGAAUAUUGGACAAUGGACGCAAGUCUGAUCCAGCCAUGCCGCGUGAAGGAUUAAGGUCCUCUGGAUUGUAAACUUCUUUUAUAAGGGACGAAAAAAGGCUUUUCUAAGUCGUCUGACGGUACCUUAUGAAUAAGCACCGGCUAACUCCGUGCCAGCAGCCGCGGUAAAAC